AGAGUUUGAUCCUGGCUCAGGAUGAACGCUGGCGGCGUGCCUAACACAUGCAAGUCGAGCGAUUUACUUCUGUAAAGAGCGGCGGACGGGUGAGUAACGCGUGGGUAACCUGCCCUGUACACACGGAUAACAUACCGAAAGGUAUGCUAAUACGAGAUAAUAUACUUUUAUCGCAUGGUAGAAGUAUCAAAGCUUUUGCGGUACAGGAUGGACCCGCGUCUGAUUAGCUAGUUGGUAAGGUAACGGCUUACCAAGGCGACGAUCAGUAGCCGACCUGAGAGGGUGAUCGGCCACAUUGGAACUGAGACACGGUCCAAACUCCUACGGGAGGCAGCAGUGGGGAAUAUUGCACAAUGGGCGAAAGCCUGAUGCAGCAACGCCGCGUGAGCGAUGAAGGCCUUCGGGUCGUAAAGCUCUGUCCUCAAGGAAGAUAAUGACGGUACUUGAGGAGGAAGCCCCGGCUAACUACGUGCCAGCAGCCGCGGUAAUACGUAGGGGGCUAGCGUUAUCCGGAAUUACUGGGCGUAAAGGGUGCGUAGGUGGUUUCUUAAGUCAGAGGUGAAAGGCUACGGCUCAACCGUAGUAAGCCUUUGAAACUGGGAAACUUGAGUGCAGGAGAGGAGAGUGGAAUUCCUAGUGUAGCGGUGAAAUGCGUAGAUAUUAGGAGGAACGCCAGUUGCGAAGGCGGCUCUCUGGACUGUAACUGACACUGAGGCACGAAAGCGUGGGGAGCAAACAGGAUUAGAUACCCUGGUAGUCCACGCCGUAAACGAUGAGUACUAGCUGUCGGAGGUUACCCCCUUCGGUGGCGCAGCUAACGCAUUAAGUACUCCGCCUGGGAAGUACGCUCGCAAGAGUGAAACUCAAAGGAAUUGACGG
rnacentral:rRNA from 1 species